CUCGCAGCCCCUGUCACAUACCCCCUGGCUUUCUCAAUUGAUCACGACCCUCUCACACGGACCCCCUUAGAGUUGUGAGCCCUUAAAAGGGACAGAAGUUGAGCACCCAAGGAGCUCGGAUUUUAAGACGCUAGCGUGCCCAUGCUCCCAGCUGAUUACAGCCACUCCCUUCACUAUCUUGGUGUCUGAGGGGUUUUGUCCACGGCUCGUCCUGCUACAUUUCUUGGUUCCCUGACCGGGAAGUGAGGUGAUUAAUGGACAGUCGAGGCAGCUCCUUAGGUGGCUUUAGCCUGCCCUGUGGAACAUCCCUGCGGGGGACUCCAACCAGCUGGAGCGACACGGAUCCUGAGAGUGCUCCCGGGUAGGCAUUUGCCCCGGUGGGACGCCCCCCAGAGCAGUGUGUGGCAGGCUCCCAUGGAGGAUCAAUGCAGUGGCUGAACACCGGGAAGGAACUGGCACCUGGAGUCCAGACAUCUGAAACUUGGUAAGACUGGUCUUUGGAACUUGCCCACUCCAUUUGAGUGGAAGCGUGGCCUGAUCACCCACGGCGUGCCUGUACAGGCACUUUGGUUUUGGUUUUGACUUGGUUUGAAUUGCUUGACAGGACUGGUCUUGGGAACUUGCCCACUCCAUUUGAGUGGAAGGGUGGCCUGAUCACCCACAGUGUGCCUGUACCAGCACUUUGGUUUUUGUUUUUGACUUGACUUAGAUUGCUUGAUACUUUGGUUUUGGUUUUGACCUGGCUUGGAUUUCUGGAUACUCUGAUUUUGGUUUUGAUUUUGGUUUGGUGUAAACUGCAAAAGUGUGUGUGUGCCCUUUUUACCUGUUCUUUGUUUUGUGGUGUGCGUGUGGUGUGAGCGUGGUGUUUUGUCUUGAAGAAGCAUGGGUGAGAAACAAAUAAGCCCACCCUACUAGGAACUAUAUUGAAAAUUUUCAAGAAAGGAUUUGAGGGAGAUUACGGUGUUACUAUGACACCAGGAAAUCUUAGAACUUUGUGUGAAAUAGACCGGCCAGCAUUAGAGGUAGGUUGGCCAUCAGAAAGAAGCUUGGACACGGCCCUUGUUUCAAAGGUACGGCACAAAGUAACUUGUAAGCCAGGGCACCCAGACCAGUUUCUGUACAUAGACACUUAGUCACAGCUGGUUUUAGACCCCUUCCCCCCAACAGUAGUUAAGAGAGACAGAAAGUCAAAGAGAGAAGAAAAAGAGAAAGAGAGAAAUAUACAAGUAGUUAAGAAAAAAAACAGUAUACCCUAUUUCUUUAAAAGCCAAGGUAAAUUUAAAACCUAUAAUUGAUAAUUAAAGGUAUUCUCCAUAAGCCGGAAACACUCUAAUACCACUUUGUUGUCAGUGUAAACAAGGGCGUAUCCCGAAAGCAUUGAGGCCUUCCUAUCAAAAAUCCUUAACCCAGUAACCCGUGGAUGGCCCAGAUGCAUUCAAUCUGUAGCGGCAGCUGCUUUGCUAACAGAAAAAAAAGUAAAAAAAAAAAAAAAAAAGGCAGUUGCAGUUUUAACCCAGACUGUAGGGCCCCUGCCAAGGCCAGUGGCCUAUCUCUCAAAACAACUAGAUGGGGUUUCCAAAGGCUGGCCCCCAAGUCUAAGGGCCCUGGCAGCAAUGGCCCUGUUAGCACAAGAAGCAGAUAAGCUAACUCUUAGGCAAAACCUAAAGUCCCCCCAUACUGUGGUGACUUUAAUAAAUACCAAAGGACAUCAUUAGCUAAUGAAUGCUAGACUAACUAGAUACCAAAGCUUGCUCUGUGAAAAUCCCCGCAUAAGCAUCGAAGUUUGCAACACCCUAAGCCCCGCCACCUUGCUCCUGGUAUCAGAGAGCCCAGUUAAACAUAACUGUGUAGAAGUGUUGGACUCAGUUUAUUCUAGGGGGCCCAACCUCCGAGACCAUCCUUAAACAUCAGUAGACUGGGAGCUGUACGUGGAUGGGAGCAGCUUCGCCAACUCCUGCAAAGUAACUCUGAAGAAGACGACAAGCCCUGCUCCAGUCACACCCGGAAGCUGACUGGUCCACACACGGCCGAAGCAUGAGACAACUCAUCGCGGGACUCAUUUUCCUUAAAAUUUGGACUUGUACAGUAAGGACUUCAACUGACCUUCCUUAGACUGAGGACUGUUCCCAGUAUAUACAUCAAGUCACUAAGGUAGGACAAAAGAUUGCUACAGUCCUGUUAUUUUAUGGUUAUUAUAAGUGUACCGGGACUCUAAAAGAAACUUGUUUGUAUAAUGCUAUUCUAUCCAAGGUAUGUAGCUCAGGAAAUAACCAACCUGAUGCCUGUUAUGACCCAUUUUAAGCCUCCCAUGAUCACAGUUUUUAGAAUAAAAUUAAGGACUGGUCAUUUUCUAGGCGACGCAAGUAAAGUAACAGCUAAGACAGAAGAAAGAUGGGUCCCCAAGCAUAUAACCCUAAAACUUAAUGCUUGUGCCACUAUCAAUAGCAAUCGGCAUAGGAUAAGAUGUGGUUCUUUAAAUUGAAAAAAAAAAGUUACACGGCAGGAAAUAAGUAUAUCUGCCAUGAAUUAAGCUCAUGUGCAACUGUGUGUAAUUACUGGUCUUGUGUCAUCUGGACUACUUGGAAAAAGGAUGAAAAAAUCCUGUUUAGCUCCAAAAAGGAGAAGGCAGCCCCGCCUGUAUGAGUGGAAGCUGCAACCCCUUAAAAUUAGUAAUUACAAAUCCCUUAAACCCAAGGUAGAAAAAAAGAGAACACAUAUCUCUGGGCAUGGAUAGAAAAGGACUAGAUCCUAGAGUAAAUAUCGUAGUAAAAGAGGAGGUUCAUAAACUCUCUCUAGAACCAGUAUUUCAGACUUUCUAUGAUGAACUAAAUGUGCCAGUACCAGAGACUCCAGGAAAAACCAGAAAUCAUUUUUGCAAUUAGCCAAGCAUGUAGCCCAGUCUCUAAAUGUCACUUCAUGUUAUGUUUGUGGAGAAACUGUAAUAGGAGAUCAAUGGCCAUAAGAAGCCUGAGAAUUAGUGCCUACAGACCCAGUUCCUGAUGAAUUCCCGGCCCAAAAGAAAUCACCUUGAUCAUUUCUAGGUUCUAAAAGUCUCAAUUAUUAGAAAAUAUUGCAUAGUUUAAAAAAGGAAAGAAUUCACUCAUUCUGUAGGAUGACUUAGUUGCCUUGGACAAAAACUGUAUAAUGGUACCACAAAAACAGUUACAUGUGGAGUUCAAGCCAUACAGAUAAAAAUCCAUUCAGUAAAUUUCCAAAGUUGCUGACUGUUUGGGCCCCCCCAGAAUCCCACUGGGGCUGGAGGCCCCCACUGGGCUAUACUAGAUAUGUAGACAUCCAGCCCAUGCUAAGCUGCCUGACCAGUGGACAGGUAGUUGUGUUAUUGGCACUAUUAAACCAUCUUUCUUCCUACUGCCCAUAAGAACAGGUGAACUCCUGGGCUUCCCUGUCUAUGCCUCCUGCAAAAAGUGAAACAUAGCCAUAGAUAAUUAAAAAGAUGAUGAAUGGCCUCCUAAAAAAAUUAUACAAUACUCAUGAUUGUGGGCGCCUGUAGUCCCAGCUACUCAGGAGGCUGAGGCAGGAGAAUGGCGUGAACCCGGGAGGCGGAGCUUGCAGUGAGCCGAGAUCACACCACUGCACUCCAGCCUGGGUGACAGAGCGAGACUCCGUCUCAAAAAAAAAAAAAAAAAAAAUUAUACGAUACUAUAGGCCUGCCACUUAGACAUAACACAGGUCAUGGGGAUACCGGACCCCCAUUUACAUGCUCAACGAAAUCAUACAGUUGCAAGCUGUUUUAGAAAUCAUCACUAAUAAAACCGGUCAAGCCUUGACUGUUCUGGCCCAGCAAGAAACUCGGAGAAGAACUGCUAUCUAUCAAAAUACACUGGCUAGCAGCUACUUGCCAUCGAUCAAUAGAUCGACUACUUGCUAGCAGGCGAAAGAGAGGUCUACAAGAAAUUUAACCUUACUAAUUACUGUGUACACAUAGAUAAUUAAAGACAAGUAGUUAAAGACAUAGUUAGAAAUAUGACAAAACUGGCACAUGUGCCCUUGCAAGUGUAACACGGAUUCGGCCCUGGAGCCAGGUGGUUCCCAGCACUAGAAGGAUUUAAAACUCUUAUAAUAGGAGUUAUAAUAGUAACAGAAACCUGCUUACUGCUCCCUUAUUUGCUACCUGUACCUCUUCAAAUGAUAAAAAGCUUCAUCGCUACCUUAGUUCACCAAAAUGCAUCAGCACAAGUGUACUAUAUGAAUCACUAGCAAUCUAUUGUACAAUGUAAUGCCCAACCUUGUUCUUACUAACCCUGUUCUUAGACUCUCCCUUUCCUUUACUCACCUAGCCUCAUUUCCACCUGAAUGGACUCUCCCUUAGCUGAGAGAGCCAGACAGACUCCAUCUUGGCUCUUUCCCUGGCAGCCCCUUCCUCAAGGACUUAACUUGUGCAAGCUGACUCCCAGCACAUCCAAGAAUGCAGUUAACUGAUAAGAUACUGUGGCGAGCUAUAUCCGCAGUUCCCAGGAAUUCGUCUGAUUGAUAACGCCCAAAGCCAAGACUAUCAUCUUGUAAUAGUCUUAAAGCCCCUGCACCUGGAACUGUUUACUUUCCUGUAACCAUUUAUCCUUUUAACUUUUUUGCCUACUUUACUUCUGUAAAAUUGUUUUAACUAGACCCCCCCUCCCCUUUCUAAACCAAAGUAUAAAAGAAAAUCUAGCCCCUUCUUCGGGGCCAAGAGAACUUUGAGCAUUAGCCAUCUCUUGGCCGCAGGCUAAAUAAAC
rnacentral:lncRNA from 1 species